rfam:Salmo salar isolate Sally breed double haploid chromosome ssa16, whole genome shotgun sequence.
UGAUAGAUGUGAUAGUAAGUCGCUCUGGAUAAGAGCGUCUGCUAAAUGACUAAAA